UAAUACGGGGGGAGCAAGCGUUGUUCGGAAUCACUGGGCGUAAAGGGAGUCUAGGCGGUUUGGUAAGUGGGAUGUGAAAUGCCCGGGCUCACCCCGGGACCUGCAUCCCAAACUGCUGAGCUUGAGUACAGGAGAGGGUGGGGGAAUUCCAGGUGUAGCGGUGAAAUGCGUAGAUAUCUGGAGGAACACCGGUGGCGAAGGCGCCCACCUGGCCUGCUACUGACGCUGAAGCUCGAAAGCUAGGGGAGCAAACGGGAUUAGAUACCCCGGUAGUCCUAGCCGUAAACGGUGAUCACUAGGUGUUGGGAGCAUCGACCCUUCCAGUGCCGCAGCUAACGCAUUAAGUGAUCCGCCUGGGGAGUACGGCCGCAAGGUUG
rnacentral:rRNA from 1 species